rnacentral:snRNA from 1 species
GGAUGUGAGGGCGAUGUGGCUGGGACAUCUGUCACCCCACUGAUCACUCGGGUGGAGUCAGCUGAUCUGGCCAGGCAGGUGUCCUCUUCCUCCCUCACUGCUCCAUGUGCGUCCCUCCCAAGGCUGCCCGCUUGGUCAAAGAGGACGACCACACCCCAUAGAGGAGGGCCGUUUCCUCGGUCAAGGGUAUAGGAGUGGCUGCACUCCCUUGCUAGAACCUCCAGACAAGAAAGAAAAGAGCUAUUUCAGGAGGAUUUUAAGAAAGUUUAUUCUGAAGCAUUUGAUAUUAAACCCUUUCUCCAG